UAGCUGGUCUGAGAGGACGACCAGCCACACUGGAACUGAGACACGGUCCAGACUCCUACGGGAGGCAGCAGUGGGGAAUUUUGGACAAUGGGGGAAACCCUGAUCCAGCCAUGCCGCGUGCGGGAAGAAGGCUUUCGGGUUGUAAACCGCUUUUGUCAGGGACGAAAAGUCGUAUUUAAAUAAAGUACGAUGCUGACGGUACCUGAAGAAUAAGCACCGGCUAACUACGUGCCAGCAGCCGCGGUAAUACGUAGGGUGCAAGCGUUAAUCGGAAUUACUGGGCGUAAAGCGUGCGCAGGCGGUUGGAUAAGAUAGAUGUGAAAUCCCCGGGCUUAACCUGGGAACCGCAUUUGUGACUGUCUGACUGGAGUAUGUCAGAGGGGGGUGGAAUUCCACGUGUAGCAGUGAAAUGCGUAGAUAUGUGGAAGAACACCGAUGGCGAAGGCAGCCCCCUGGGGCAAAACUGACGCUCAUGCACGAAAGCGUGGGGAGCAAACAGGAUUAGAUACCCUGGUAGUCCACGCCCUAAACGAUGUCUACUGGUUGUUGGGGAGUUAAAUCCUCAGUAACGAAGCCAACGCGUGAAGUAGACCGCCUGGGGAGUACGGUCGCAAGAUUAAAACUCAAAGGAAUUGACGGGGACCCGCACAAGCGGUGGAUGAUGUGGAUUAAUUCGAUGCAACGCGAAAAACCUUACCUAGCCUUGACAUGUCGAGAAGGAGACGUAAAUGUUUCCGUGCCCGAAAGGGAACUCGAACACAGGUGCUGCAUGGCUGUCGUCAGCUCGUGUCGUGAGAUGUUGGGUUAAGUCCCGCAACGAGCGCAACCCUUGUCAUCAGUUGCUACCCGAAAGGGAGCACUCUGAUGAGACUGCCGGUGACAAACCGGAGGAAGGUGGGGAUGACGUCAAGUCCUCAUGGCCCUUAUGGCUAGGGCCUCACACGUCAUACAAUGGUCGGAACAGAGGGCAGCGAAGCCGCGAGGCG
rnacentral:rRNA from 1 species